UUUAAUUAACUUAAACAUAAGUAUUUAAGUGUUUUUGAAAACCUAAGUUCCCUAAUUUCCCCAUCCGAUCCUUUCUUCCUCUCUCGCUCGAUCCGCCGCACACCUACACUUUCCUCUCUUGCGCCGUUGCCCGACCAAGCCACUCCAUGCCACCAAUCGCGCCACCACCUCCCUACAUCGAUCGUCGACUGUGCAGCACCGCUCCUCGCCGGAGCAAGUUACGAUCGUGACCAGUGCCGCAUCGCCUACCCUCAGAUCCCGACGUUGUCACCGCACCGCGAUCCGCCCGGUGCUGACCGCCGAGCUUCCUCAGUGAUGCCAUCGGCCAUCGCAGCGCCACCUAGCGUCAAUUUUCCCUCUUCGCACCUGCGAUCCAUAGCUAUUGAUCCACCGCCGCUGGUUGACCAUCGACAUCGCUUUCUGCUUCUCGCGAUAACGUUGUUGCAUCAUCUUCUUCUCCAUCGAGUUGUCUCGCAUAAGAUGGUCCUCAACCGGGGGGAUCCCAUGCCCUAGCUUCACCGCUGCUCUUCGCUGGAAUCGCUCCAAUCGAAGCUACACCGACAUUGCUACCCUCUCAGCCGAUCUUCUGCCAUCCGCGCCGUGCCCUAGCUCCGAUGUAUCGCCAACGCUGCUGCGCCAUCUCACAGUUGUUGUUGCCCUUCGAUUGUGCUGAGCACCCGAGCCAGUAACAGCCCUUACCAGCUCCACUGUCCUACUCGCGUCGCCAUCACCAUGUGUCGAUCGCCGGUGUUGCCUUUUGACCACACAAGUAGCCGACGUUGAGUGUGUUCAAGCCAGCUACCACCGAGAGCAGAUUAGCUCUGUGCUCUUGUACUAUUGAGCUGUUCGUUGUAGAUCCGUUCAUCAUGGCAUCCCUGAUCCUGCAUCGAGCAGCUACAAAGCUGGAUUGUGGUAAGUUUGGGAAGGUGAUAGAUUAAGAGCAAUGUUUUGUUGAGGGUUAGGCAUUUGAUCGUUUCCUGCAUUAUCAGGGUAGCAGGUAAAGGAUUUAUGGAGUCGCCUGGAG